rnacentral:lncRNA from 1 species
AAUUUGAACAUGAAACAAUUAUUUCUUUUUUCAAUAUUUCAAAAUAUAUUAUAUUAAAUCUAAAUUUUUAAAAUACAAAUUCAAAUAUAACAUCAUAUAUAUACACACACACACACACACACACACGCACACACACACACAAAAUAAUUCGGGUUCGGGUCGGGUUCGGGUUCGGGUUUGGGUCGAAUACAGUCAAAAUCCAUAUUCGAAUCCAUAUCCGUCGGAUUUCUAUUUUUUAUAUCCAUAUCAAAAUUCAUAUCCAUUUAGCAUGGGAUAUAUCCGUUUCAUUCGGCUUCAGAUUCGGAUAAAAUUUCGAAUAUCCAUACCCAUUGACAUCCCUAGAUAAGAGUAUGACUUUUGAAAAAGAAAGUAGAUAUGUUAGCUGUAUUUUUCAAUAAUUCAAACAAA